CUAGUAGUUUCAGAGGAGAAGAUUCUUGAAAUAGUUUACGACGACGGACGCCAAGUGAUGGCAUAAGCUCACUUUGGCCCAUCGGGCCACGUGAGCUAAAAAGGCAGCCAUUUUAGUUUUACUGGAUCUAUUUGAAUUUUUACAAAUGAUGGUUGAUUUGAAGUCUACUUCCUUCACAACGGCUGAUUUCAGGGUUAGGUUGGUUUGCUGUCCAGACCGCUAACCACGACGAUGAAGUUCUGGUCGAUGAGUCCCGGACGUAGUAAUAACGAUGACAGUAAGCGUUAUCAGGACCAAAGUCGUGAGACAGUGAUGGAAAUCGCGGUCCAUUAUCUAACAACUAGGAUACCACCCUCGGACGUCAGUCGACAUAACACUCUCCCAUCUACAAUGGAGUUUGGAGU
rnacentral:lncRNA from 1 species